rnacentral:rRNA from 1 species
UGAGGAAUAUUGCGCAAUGGACGAAAGUCUGACGCAGCAACGCCGCGUGCGGGAUGAAGGCCUUUUAGGUCGUAAACCGCUGUAGCAGGGAAAAAAUACCCCGUUUGACGGGGUUGAUGGUACCCUGAAAGUAAGCCUCGGCUAACUACGUGCCAGCAGCCGCGGUAAUACGUAGGAGGCAAGCGUUGUCCGGAUUUACUGGGUGUAAAGGGUCCGCAGGCGGGAAUGUAAGUCGGUGGUGAAAUCCUACGGCUCAACCGUAGAACUGCCUCCGAGACUGCAUCUCUUGAAUAUGGGAGAGGGCAGCGGAAUUCCAGGUGUAGCGGUGAAAUGCUUAGAUAUCUGGAAGAACGCCGGUAGCGAAGGCUGCUGCCUGGCCCAUUAUUGACGCUCAUGGACGAAAGCGUGGGGAUCAAACAGG